CACUAGUGAUUAGAGUUUGAUCCUGGCUCAGAUUGAACGCUGGCGGCAGGCCUAACACAUGCAAGUCGAGCGGAUGAGGGGAGCUUGCUCCCUGAUUUAGCGGCGGACGGGUGAGUAAUGCCUAGGAAUCUGCCUGGUAGUGGGGGAUAACGUUCCGAAAGGAACGCUAAUACCGCAUACGUCCUACGGGAGAAAGCAGGGGACCUUCGGGCCUUGCGCUAUCAGAUGAGCCUAGGUCGGAUUAGCUAGUUGGUGAGGUAAUGGCUCACCAAGGCGACGAUCCGUAACUGGUCUGAGAGGAUGAUCAGUCACACUGGAACUGAGACACGGUCCAGACUCCUACGGGAGGCAGCAGUGGGGAAUAUUGGACAAUGGGCGAAAGCCUGAUCCAGCCAUGCCGCGUGUGUGAAGAAGGUCUUCGGAUUGUAAAGCACUUUAAGUUGGGAGGAAGGGCAUUAACCUAAUACGUUAGUGUUCUGACGUUACCAACAGAAUAAGCACCGGCUAACUUCGUGCCAGCAGCCGCGGUAAUACGAAGGGUGCAAGCGUUAAUCGGAAUUACUGGGCGUAAAGCGCGCGUAGGUGGUUCGUUAAGUUGGAUGUGAAAGCCCCGGGCUCAACCUGGGAACUGCAUCCAAAACUGGCGAGCUAGAGUACGGUAGAGGGUGGUGGAAUUUCCUGUGUAGCGGUGAAAUGCGUAGAUAUAGGAAGGAACACCAGUGGCGAAGGCGACCACCCUGGACUGAUACCUGANCAUUNGGUCAAAGCG
rnacentral:rRNA from 1 species